GUGCUUGCUUUGGCAGCACACAUACUACAAUUGGAACAAUAUAGAGAUUAGCAUGGCCCCUGAGCAAGGAUGACAUGCAAAUUCGUGAAGCAUUCCAUAUAUAU
rnacentral:snRNA from 1 species